UACGUAGGGUGCGAGCGUUGUCCGGAAUUAUUGGGCGUAAAGAGCUCGUAGGCGGUGUGUCACGUCGGCCGUGAAAACCUGCAGCUUAACUGUGGGCGUGCGGUCGAUACGGGCAUCACUGGAGUUCGGCAGGGGAGACUGGAAUUCCUGGUGUAGCGGUGAAACGCGCAGAUAUCAGGAGGAACACCGGUGGCGAAGGCGGGUCUCUGGGCCGAUACUGACGCUGAGGAGCGAAAGCGUGGGGAGCGAACAGG
rnacentral:rRNA from 1 species